UACGGAGGGUGCGAGCGUUGUCCGGAAUCACUGGGCGUAAAGGGCGCGUAGGUGGUUUGAUAAGGGUGUGGUGAAAGUCCGGAGCUCAACUCCGGAUCUGCCGUGCCGACUGUCAAACUCGAGGGCUGUAGAGGCAGACGGAAUUCCGGGUGUAGCGGUGGAAUGCGUAGAGAUCCGGAGGAAGACCGGUGGCGAAGGCGGUCUGCUGGGCAGUUUCUGACACUGAGGCGCGACGAGCGUGGGGAGCAAACAGG
rnacentral:rRNA from 1 species